rnacentral:rRNA from 1 species
AGGACGAACGCUGGCGGCGUGCUUAACACAUGCAAGUCGAGCGGUAAGGCCCUUCGGGGUACACGAGCGGCGAACGGGUGAGUAACACGUGGGUGAUCUGCCUCGCACUCUGGGAUAAGCCUGGGAAACUGGGUCUAAUACCGGAUAUGACCAGGAACUGCAUGGUUUUUGGUGGAAAGAUUUAUUGGUGCGAGAUGGGCCCGCGGCCUAUCAGCUUGUUGGUGGGGUAAUGGCCUACCAAGGCGACGACGGGUAGCCGACCUGAGAGGGUGACCGGCCACACUGGGACUGAGACACGGCCCAGACUCCUACGGGAGGCAGCAGUGGGGAAUAUUGCACAAUGGGCGAAAGCCUGAUGCAGCGACGCCGCGUGAGGGAUGACGGCCUUCGGGUUGUAAACCUCUUUCGACAGGGACGAAGCGUAAGUGACGGUACCUGUAGAAGAAGCACCGGCUAACUACGUGCCAGCAGCCGC